AUGCAGGUAAACGGGUGGCGUCAAGCUGCAAGCCCGGAGGAUUCAGCUGGCUAGGAUGUUGUGUAUGCGCCUGGCGCAUCUAUCAGCCGGAGUAAGAUGUGAUAGUCCACUGGUAAACGGUGGGCCCGGCCGCAAGGUUGGGAUAUGUGUACCGGGCGGAAGCCGGAGCAUGCUAUUCGUCUGUUGGGCUGUCUAGUCAGUGCACUUUCUCUGUGGUGAACACCACGACCGGUGGAAUUGCCAGUCUGCUGUAGUCAAGUCGUAUUCAGUCGGUUCUUGUAGCCAACUGGGUGCGAUCACAGGCAAACUCAGUAAACGGCGUAGGGGUGUCUCGGCAUCCUUGCGUGUUAUCGGCUGCUGGUUGUCAACGGGCCUGCCUGAUGAUUGUUGUAACCGUCAUUGGGUGGUCUGGUGGGCUAUGGUGGUAAGAAUAACUGUGCAAGGCAUCGGAGUUCUCGGCCUCAAAUGCAUCCUGCAUACACGUUACAAGUGGAGUGGGGUGCCAUUGCAGCCUGCCUGUUGUUGGGUCUGAUUGUCGUGUCGCCUGCGCAAAGUGGGCCCGGCAGUGGCCUGAUGCGGGAUGGGUUGUGGAUGGUGCUUCCUGUGUAGGGUGCGGUGGGUCAAAUAUC
rnacentral:rRNA from 1 species